CAUCAUCCACGGAUAGACCUUGAACAAAUUGCUAUUGUUCGUUUGGAUUGUAUUAGAAUGAGAAAGGAAAAAAAUCCCUGUGCUUUCUGUCUUUGUGGCGGCCCAGAUUGAAUACUGAAAUACAUCU
rfam:Pteropus alecto contig7923, whole genome shotgun sequence.